CCUUCGGGAGGCAGCAGUGAGGAAUAUUGGUCAAUGGGCGGGAGCCUGAACCAGCCAAGCCGCGUGAGGGAAGAAGGUACAGCGUAUCGUAAACCUCUUUUGUCAGGGAACAAAGGCGGGGACUAGUCCCCGGAUGAGGGUACCUGAAGAAAAAGCAUCGGCUAACUCUGUGCCCGCAGCCGCGGUAAUACGGAGGAGGCGAGCGUUAUCGGGAUUUAUUGGGGUUAAAGGGGGCGCAGCGGGCCUGGUAAGUCAGCGGUAAAAGCCCGGGGCUCAACCCCGGCGAGCCGUUGAAACUGGCGGGCUGGAGUUGGAGAGAGGUACGCGGAAUUCCCGGUGUAGCGGUGAAAUGCUUAGAUAUCGCGCAGAACCCCAGUUGCGAAGGCAGCGUACCGGCUCCACACUGACGCUGAGGCACGAAAGCGUGGGUAUCGAACAGGAUUAGAUACCCCAGUAGUC
rnacentral:rRNA from 1 species